rnacentral:rRNA from 1 species
UACGUAGGGGGCAAGCGUUGUCCGGAUUUACUGGGCGUAAAGGGUGCGUAGGCGGACAUUUAAGUCAGAUGUGAAAUCCCCGAGCUUAACUUGGGUGCUGCAUUUGAAACUGGGUGUCUAGAGUGCAGGAGAGGUAAGUGGAAUUCCUAGUGUAGCGGUGAAAUGCGUAGAGAUUAGGAAGAACACCAGUGGCGAAGGCGACUUACGGGACUGUAACUGACACUGAGGCACGAAGGCCAGGGGAGCAAACGGG